rnacentral:rRNA from 1 species
AUACCAGGUGUGAGGCUCUGCACACGGGUCAUCGGCUCUGUCUUUCUCUGUCCGAGAAACCAUGUGCGGCAGGCUCGAGGGCGGCUUGGGGCAGGAUGGGCAAAACAUCUUGCCUCCUUUCUGUCUGGGUCGCCACCACUUCUCGAUCAUGCACCCUUCCGCUUGACUUUUGAUUAUAAUUUCAUCUUUCGUCGCAGGGCGGUGGGCUUUUUCUGUUGGCCGUUUUGUCGUCUUCUUGAUGUCAAUCGCCUGAGAAGUCGCCGCCGUGCCGCGGGAGUGAAUUCGAUGUCCACUUACAACUUUCAGCGACGAAUGUCUCGGCUCGAAUAACGAUGAAGAGCACAGCGAACUGUGAUAAGCAUUGUGAAUUGCAGAUUUCCGUGAAUCAAUAGGAACUUGAACGUAAACUGCGGUUUUGGGAUAUCCCUAAAACCAUGCCUGCUUCAGUGUCCCAACCUCUUCUUCCGACCACCAGAUAGCGAUGCUGCGUCUCUAUCCCAUAGGCCCCCCUGUUUCGGUGCGGGUUGGCAGAUAGGUCAGCUCCAGUCUGGCGGCUUCGGUGUUGUUGUGCGUUAAGGUGCUUCUCUCUCGGACUUUGGUCCGCUGUGAAGUGUGCACUUGACGCUUUCAAAACAUGGAGAUCUCCCUGGUGGUUUUUUCGGCGACGAAUCGUGCCACCCGCAUGUAUGUUUGCUCGCCCGCCGCCAGGGCUGCCGUCUCCCUAAGGCAGCAGCUCUGUCUUUUGUUUUUGCCUUCGUCUACUAGCGGCGAUCGCUU